GUCCAGGGAUGGGAAUCGAACCCACAGUGUUCUGCUUACCGGGCGGAUGCCAUGUCCACUAGGCUACCCUGGA
rnacentral:tRNA from 1 species